AUCAAAGUUACCCUCUCUGGUGUAGAACUUGACAGCAAAACCACGAAUGUCCCUGAUAGACUCGGGGCUUCCACGUUCAUGGACAACAGUAGAGAAUCGACAAAUAACAGGCGUUUGAGCGCCAGGAGCUCGGAGAAAAUCAGCACAAGUAAGAUGAGAAAUGUCAUGAGUAACUUCAAAGAAUCCCUUAGCACUAGCACCUCUAGCAUG
rnacentral:misc_RNA from 1 species